rnacentral:ncRNA from 1 species
AUGGUAGAGGCGCGGUCAUUAUCAGUAGCCGCCAUCACAUAAGGAGUCAGAGCUCUGGAUGGGGUGAAAGGAAGGAUCGCCGAAAUGGGAAACGGUUCUGAACGUUUUCUGUUGGGCUGGCGGAGAAUAUCCGCCGGACUGUCACAGAUUUAUGUGGAGCGCUAUCA